UACGAAGGUGGCUAGCGUUGUUCGGAUUUAUUGGGCGUAAAGGGUCCGCAGGCGGUUUGGAACGUCAGGUGUGAAAUCCCACAGCUCAACUGUGGACACGCAUUUGAAACUUCCAGACUAGAGUGUGAGAGGGGUGAAUGGAAUUUCCAGUGUAGGGGUGAAAUCCGUAGAUAUUGGAAAGAACACCGGCCGCGAAGGCGAUUCACUGGCUCAUUACUGACGCUCAGGGACGAAAGCCAGGGGAGCAAACGGG
rnacentral:rRNA from 1 species